rnacentral:rRNA from 1 species
AACGUUCUAUAGGUUUAUUAGGUGUAAAGAGUGAUUUUGAAUGUGAAUAGGAAUCAGUUUAUCAACAGGUAUCGGCUUAUCUUUUCCUAAUGUUUCUUUGAUGAGGUGAAUUAGAUUCUAGAUUUGAUGUGGUGUAGAAAUGUUAAUUGUAAUAGUGAAAUGUAUAUAUAAUUGGUAUAAAAUUUAUUUGAUAUUGGUAGCUUGAAAAGGUAGAUAUUCUAUUCACGUUUAUAAAUUAAUUCUGGGAAAUUGUCUUGUGGAUCUAUUUUUAACAAAUUAAGGUUCUUAACCUAAGGAGUACGCUUUCACUUGUGAAACUUAAAUGUUCUGGUGGUGGUUUAGAACAAUAGUGGAAUAGAUGAUUUAAUUCGAUGUUAUGCGAUAAAGCUUAUCAGUUAUCUGAAAUAAUACCUAGGUAUAGGUAGAAUUCUAUUCGAGGAAGUGCAUGGCUGUUGGAGGGUAAUGUUUUGUAAUAUCUGGUUUCGGACAGGAAU